UAGGGAGCGAGCGUUGUCCGGAAUUACUGGGUGUAAAGGGAGCGUAGGCGGGAUCGCAAGUCAGAUGUGAAAUACGUGGGCUUAACCCACGGGCUGCAUUUGAAACUGUAGUUCUUGAGUGAAGUAGAGGCAAGCGGAAUUCCUGGUGUAGCGGUGAAAUGCGUAGAUAUCAGGAGGAACACCGGUGGCGAAGGCGGCUUGCUGGGCUUUUACUGACGCUGAGGCUCGAAAGCGUGGGGAGCAAA
rnacentral:rRNA from 1 species